rnacentral:rRNA from 2 species
AGAGUUUGAUCCUGGCUCAGGACGAACGCUGGGGCGUGCCUAACACAUGCAAGUCGAGCGGAGAUAUUAGCAAUAAUAUCUUAGCGGCGGACGGGUGAGUAACGCGUGGGUAACCUGCCUUUCACAGGGGGAUAACACCGGGAAACUGGUGCUAAUACCGCAUAACGUAUGACCAUGGCAUCAUGGAUGUACCAAAGGAGCAAUCCGGUGAGAGAUGGACCCGCGUCCAAUUAGCUAGUUGGUGGUGUAAUGGACCACCAAGGCGACGAUUGGUAGCCGAACUGAGAGGUUGAUCGGCCACAUUGGGACUGAGACACGGCCCAGACUCCUACGGGAGGCAGCAGUGGGGAAUAUUGCGCAAUGGGGGAAACCCUGACGCAGCAACGCCGCGUGAGUGAAGAAGGCCUUCGGGUUGUAAAGCUCUGUUGCCCGUGAAGAACGGUACUCUCAGGAAAUGGGGAGUACUUGACGGUAGCGGGUGAGGAAGCCCCGGCUAACUACGUGCCAGCAGCCGCGGUAAUACGUAGGGGGCGAGCGUUGUCCGGAUUUAUUGGGCGUAAAGGGCGUGUAGGCGGCCUGUUAAGUCAGGGGUGAAACUCCGCAGCUCAACUGCGGACCUGCCUCUGAUACUGGCGGGCUUGAGUACUCUAGAGGGCAGUGGAAUUCCCGGUGUAGCAGUGAAAUGCGUAGAGAUCGGGAGGAACACCAGUGGCGAAGGCGGCUGCCUGGGGAGAAACUGACGCUGAGGCGCGAAAGCUGGGGGAGCAAACGGGAUUAGAUACCCCGGUAGUCCCAGCCGU